GACGAACGCUGGCGGCGUGCUUAACACAUGCAAGUCGAACGGAAAGGUCCUGCUGCUGUGGGGUGCUCAAGUGGCGAACGGGUGAGUAACAAGUGAGUAACCUGCCUUCGACUUUGGGAUAACUUCAGGAAGCUGAGGCUAACACCGGACAGGAGCCCGUGUUGCAUGGAGGGGGGUGGAAUGAUUGGGGGGUAGGAGAUGGAUAGGGGGUUAAUCAGCUUGUUGGUGGGGUAGUGGCGUACCAAGGGCUUGACGGGUAGCCGGCCUGGGAGGGGGACCGGCGACAUGGCGCCUGAGGGACGGAGCAGACUGCUACGGGAGGCAACAGUGGAGAGUAUGGCGCAGUAGGCGGGAGCGUGAUGAGACGACGCCGCGUGCGGAAAGCCGUCUUUCGAGGUGUGAAUCGCUUUCGCGUAUGAAGACGCGUAAGUGACGGUAAUGGGUAAAGAAGCAACGGCUAACUACGUG
rnacentral:rRNA from 1 species